CAGCGUAACCUGGUCGUUCGCGACCGGCUACCCGUCCUCUGUCAUGCGAAUCUAGCGAUAUUACUUCCCAGGAGGUGUUGCGCAGGCCGUCAAAAAGCCUGCGUGACCGCCUGGGGUCUUUUUUUGCAAACUCUUGCGAGAAGCGUGAAGUCUGAAUUUUAUAUACCAAAAAAAAAAGCA
rnacentral:misc_RNA from 1 species